GGAAAUUUGAAUUCGCAGAAGAAGAAAACAGCGGCGGUCUGCCUCGGUUAUUUCUCAGCGCAUCUAUCAAAGAGACCACUGUUUCUACACUGCUUGUGCCCUUGCUGUCAUCUUUUCCUGGUACCCAUGCAGAUCCUCAGUCAGAUACAGAAAUUGAGCAGAAAACCUUGGGAGCAAGCAGUCUCAGUCGGGGGGCAGUUCUCCUCUGGCCAGACGAAACCAGCACGGCGUGGCUUAAUUCUAGGCCCAGACUGAGCAGAGGACUUGUCUGGUUCUCGUGGUCUUGUCCCGAUGGCCCACGAGGUCUUCAGAGGGGAUCUGUCUCUGGGGCUCAGCUGACAUGGUCUCCGCUGACAUUCAGGGCUGUCGAGGGCGAGGUCAUCUCUAGUAGUCCAUGGGCCAAGCCAGAAUUUGGUACCACCAAAGUCGCGCCACGCCACUCGCGUCCGAGGAAGACACGGAAGCAGCGGGGCAGCGCAGCGGGUUUUGCCCGGGGAUGAACCCGUGAACGUGGAAGAGCUCCGGAGAACAUCUGAGCUGUGUGUCGAUGCACCUUACGAGAGAAUAAGACCAGCAAGCAAGCCUAUGUGUUUUAAAGGCAAUGGCAAUGAAGCAUCAAGAAAGACAUGAGCAUGGCAGCCACCCUGAGACUGAUAAUUCACGAGAAGACAUUUCUGUCACUAACAAAGUGGAUGGUGAGCAAAGGUGGUGGCAGCACCUUUUCAUUUUGGAGCAGCAUAUGGGUUUUGCAGAUGGCUAUGUAUUCUUUGGCUGUUUGUCUUUUUCCCCCCAUUAUGUUUCUGUUGCCUAAAGAUUCUUUGUGAGAAUAAAUCCAGAGGACACAACAUAAUGCACUGCAAAACGUCUUAAAACAGGAGAAAUAGUGAAGAUGCACUGU